rnacentral:rRNA from 1 species
GUGUCAGCAGCCGCGGUAAUACAGAGGUCCCAAGCGUUGUUCGGAUUCACUGGGCGUAAAGGGUGCGUAGGUGGUGAGGUAAGUCUGAUGUGAAAUCUCCGAGCUCAACUCGGAAAUGGCAUUGGAAACUACUUGGCUAGAGGAGUGGAGGGGGGACUGGAAUUCUCGGUGUAGCAGUGAAAUGCGUAGAGAUCGAGAGGAACACCAGUGGCGAAGGCGAGUCCCUGGACACUUCCUGACGCUGAGGCACGAAAGCUAGGGGAGCAAACAGGAUUAGAUACCCCGGUAGUCC